rnacentral:rRNA from 1 species
UACGUAGGGUGCGAGCGUUGUCCGAAAUUAUUGGGCGUAAAGAGCUUGUAGGCGGUUUGUCGCGUCUGCCGUGAAAUUUCGAGGCUCAACCUCGAACUUGCGGUGGGUACGGGCAGACUAGAGUGUGGUAGGGGAGACUGGAAUUCCUGGUGUAGCGGUGAAAUGCGCAGAUAUCAGGAGGAACACCGAUGGCGAAGGCAGGUCUCUGGGCCACUACUGACGCUGAGAAGCGAAAGCAUGGGGAGCGAACAGG